UGGAGUGUAGCUCAGUUGGUAGAAUGCUUGCCUAGAAUGCAUGAGUCUCUGGGUUCCAUUCCCAGCAUCUCAC
rnacentral:tRNA from 1 species